UGGUACAAAAAGGUCCACACGUGAGUGCCUAGUCUCUGGGAACACAGAGGAGAAAUGAUUCAUCCUGCCUUGAUUCAGAGGUGGGAGGCCUGGGGCUUAUUUGCAUGAGACUCUAUCACUUGGACACGUCUCUGUGCCAUUUUCCUCACAUGUAAAAUUGCUCUGAUAACCAUACCUGUAAGGUUUUACAGGCGAGAUACACAGGACACCAGGCGAGACAGGCGCAAGGCAAGUUUUAUUAAAGGCGCUCUUGGGCGAAGUUCCGCGACUCAGGAGAGGAGAGUCCGGGAAGUCACGCCCGGGAGGGGGCCGAGUGGGUCUUUCAUUUGGCUUAAGACAGGGCAUAGGUUCACAGCCAUAUAAGGUAAGGUAUUCAGGGUGUGGGUUCACAACAACUAUAUAUGUUAAGGUAUUUGUGGUUGGAGGGUAGGGGGAGUCCUGAUGUUCCUGUUUCCUGCAUAGGUAUCCGUGUACUUAUGGUGACGUGUCCUCAGCAUACGUCCUUCCGGCGGGUGAGUCAUGGGUAAAGGAAGAGGGCGGCCUGGAAGAUGACGGCCCGGCGGCCAUUUUUAUUGUUCCUCCUACAUUCCUGGAGCCACUGACCCAACUAUACCCGCCUAUGGCUUCAGUGAGGAUACAGAAAGCUUUUAACAGUGUCAGCUUCUAGGAGAUGAAAUGAUUUAAUCAGGACUUUGCUGAUACCACAGUCUUUGGCAGGACUUCGUGGCUCAUUGCUGAUCCCAGGAAAAGACUGAGAGCCUACAAAUGAAGUUUUCAAUAUUCGUGGAAAGAGAAUCAACAAAUGCUGAGUCACAGUGUUCCUGCGUUCCACAUCCUUGCUGCUGGGGCGUUGCCGCAGGCAGCCAUGGCCACUGAGGCAGAACAUGCCAGGCUCCGGUGAGAGCUACUGCUGCAGUCCUCAGCACACAAAGAACUCUCCAGAACAGAUGAUUAUCAUCUUAACCAGUCGCUGCAUGGUCAACAUCUGAUACCUCUUACCACAUGGAGGUGACAAAGUCAAUCCAUUGGCCUGUCUGCCCCAGAGCUAGAGAUCUUGUCUUCUGGUGAUGAUUUAAUGAAGUCCAAGUCAUCUUGCAAAAAAGGAAGUGGAAAAGGAUUCAAGCAGUGCAUUUUUGGCAGCAACAGUAGUUCUGAGACGUUCUCUUUUAACAGAGAAAACAUCGUGGCUGAUAAAUAUGGCAGAACUCUUUUGAAACAGUGUCCUGUCUUACGUGUGUUCUACAGUGCUCCAAAAAGAGGAAACUUGUCUUUUGUGGCUUCCAAGAAAGAGCGUUUUUCUCCUCUUCUUUUUGUUUGUUGCAUAUCUAAAUCCCCAGAAUCAUCUAGGAAGAAGAAGGGGGUGAAGACUUUCAAAAGAAAUGAGUCUCUCAUUACGAAAGUAAUAUUCCACUCCACAUAUGCAGAUGCUGGCAUGUGCAGAAGAGAAGGUACUGUUUGUCUUACUGCAUCAUAAUUUGGAUGUUUGAUUUAACUAGAGCAGCCUUGUAUUGUAGCCAAUAUGUAUUACAUAAAGUUACCCCUGAGACUACUCCUCAGAAACUGGAUAAAUGGAACUGUGUGCUCUGGUAAAAUGGCCCCUGAAGAGAUUAUCCCAGGAAGAUAAGAGUAAGCUUCACCGUGUACCAAAGAAGUGGUAUAUUACACACACACACUCACUCCCCUAAAUUUGCAUAUAGAGGUUUGACUCUUUUCAGAACUUUCUUAGAUUCAUGUUUAUUUAGACCUCUUCCUUAUGAUAACUCCCCAUUUUUCUUCUUAAUCCAUCUUUAAAAUAAAGUGGGCAUUUUUCUGAGUUAAAGAUUUUGAACUUUGCAGCACCUACCUAUAAAUCAACUGAUCAGCUUGUGAAGAAUGCUUUGUCUUUGAGGGAAGGGGAAGGAGUGCACAGUAAGAUGGAAGUAGAUUUCCUGUGGCCUUUGGCUCACUGUUAGCUCAAUUCUGAGAAUCUAGAUUUAGAAGACAAACAAAAUGUCAGACUGGUCUCUGUGGUUUCCCCUCCAUCUUCUAACUUCUUAGAGGUCCACCCAGUCUUUGGAAUUAACAUCUGCCAAUCUCAAGAGACUAUAUAAUUGAGUAAAAACAGACCCAAGUGGCAACAGUAAGGGACUUGGAAUUAAUACAACUUUGGGGCCAAAGUAUUUAGCCUAGUAAGUAUUAUUCGAUAAAUUCUGGAUACAAUUUAAUUAGGCAUAUGGAUAAAGAAGGGGGAAAAUAAUCCCUUGGAAACGGAUUGAAAGUCUUCUCCAUUGUGAAGAGGGAAUUAACUCAAUGUACACACUGGAACUAAAAGCGUGAGGCCAAAUUUGGAGACAGAGUGGAAACCCCU